rnacentral:rRNA from 1 species
GAUUUGGGCUACACACGUGCUACAAUGGACAAUACAAAGGGCAGCGAAACCGCGAGGUCAAGCAAAUCCCAUAAAGUUGUUCUCAGUUCGGAUUGUAGUCUGCAACUCGACUACAUGAAGCUGGAAUCGCUAGUAAUCGUAGAUCAGCAUGCUACGGUGAAUACGUUCCCGGGUCUUGUACACACCGCCCGUCACACCACGAGAGUUUGUAACACCCGAAGCCGGUGGAGUAACCUUUUAGGAGCUAGCCGUCGAAGGUGGGACAAAUGAUUGGGGUGAAGUCGUAACAAGGUAGCCGUAUCGGAAGGGGCGGCUGGAUCACCUCCUUUCUAAGGA